rnacentral:sRNA from 1 species
AAUUAAACUAGAUUUUAACCUGCGGUACACCGCGAGAACAAUUUAUUUUUUAAAGCUAGUGUACAUAAAAGUUUGGAAAUUGUAUCUAUCUAUAAAAUAAAUAUUUUAUAGUUUACAAUUGUUAUUAAGGGCCUGACUGGUUUAAACGCAGCGGGUGCGGUUGCGGUUGCGGGAGUUUGCAGAAAUGGGCGAUUGCGGUUUCAAGCUUUAUCAAGCGUUUUGAACGACUGAUUGAGCGUUUGAUAAUGGGUGCGUUUGCGGAAGUUUUAUGACUGGUAAACCAGCGGGUGCGAUAGUAAUUAAAUAAAAAAUAACCAAAAUAAAUAUAAUAUAUUACUAUUAAAAUAAAUAAAAAUAUAAUAUAU